rnacentral:lncRNA from 1 species
UUCUUCUUCUAUUCUUCUUUGAUUUUUCUUCUCAUUUAAUUCUUUUUCUUAUUCUUCGAUUCUUCUUUUUUUUUCUUCUUCGAUUCUUCUUCUUCUUUUUUGAGUCUUCAUUUUCUUCUUCUUCGAUUCUUCUUUUUCUUUUUUGAUUCUCCUUCUUUUUUUUGAUUCUUCUGCUUUUUUUAUUCUUUUUCGAUUGUUUUCCUUCUACUUUUUUUUAUUCUUCUUCUUCUUUGAUUCUUCAAUUUUUCUUUUUUGAUUCUUCAAUUCUUCUUCUUUGAUUCUUUUUUUUCUUCUUUGGUUCUUUUUUAAUUUCUUUUUCAAAUUUGGAGGAGAUGAAGGAGGGGAUUUAAAGUUUGAAGGAGAUGAAGAAGAGUGAUGUGCUGUAUUUUCGACAAAUCUUUUUUUUAUAAACUAUAUUUAUAUGUGUCGAAAUGUAUUCAAAUUCAGGUUUUUGAGUACAUGAUUGGUUCUCUUGGCCCCCGGGGCCGUGUUAUAGUGUUUGAUAUGUUUUUGGUACAUUUCAGGUGUCAUAUGACGUUUAAAGAUGAACCAAGACAUGCCGGGGAAAACUAAACACGUUAGAAAUAAUCGUGUGUGGAAUGAGUCAUCAUUUACACGAGCGGCAAGAUAGUUCAAGGGCAUCGCGUUUACUAUCUGGCCAGAAAAGUGGACGUUCUUCACAAAGGAAGGUUCAAACUGUAAUACCUACCUAUCUUGCCGAUUCGACCGUUGAGCUAGAAGUGGGUCUUGGUAACUUGAGUCUGAUUUCCAUUCAUAUGGGGGAUUGUUGGAAAACUAGUGGAAAAAGUGGUAUUGGUAAGAGGGUGAAUGAGAAAUUGGAUCUCAUAUACCUUGAUAAAAUUGGUGUAACAUAUUGUAACCGAAUCGAGUAAGAAUAGUCCACCACAGAUGCGUGGGAGAUGCCACAACUCGAUUUGGACAAGAUUCCGGAUAAUGGUCGACCAGCUGGAUAUAUGAUUAUUGAACCGAACCACUUUUAUUAUGACAUAAUGAUGCUUAACACCAUUAAAUAUUAUGCAGGUGCAUGGUGACAUUACCUUCUCUUGCUUGGCUCUCUCUCAACUGAUUGAGAGGAUGAUGAGGACACCACCUCUUCAAACGGCCAUGAAAUUUGUGUUUGUGAAAGAAGUAAUUAUGUGUUUUCUAUGCAAAAAAACCUUAUGUAUAAGAAGGGCAAGCAAGAAGAAGGGAUGAUUGUCCUAUGAAACCACCAAAAAUACUCUCCUCACUUCCCCCUCAGUUCAUACUUUUGUUCCCAUCCAAGUCCAGCUCAGACGGAGUUGAAGUUUGACAGUACGACAAGUUGAUAUCGUCGUUGUAUCCUGGGAGAUAUACACUUCCCAUAGAGGACAAAUCUAUAUUAAAGAACUUGUGUCCAACAAAGGCCUCGACUUUGAUUGAUUCUGUAACUUCUACCCAUCACUCUUGUUGUAUUUUCUAGUGUAUAGAUAGUCAACUUCUUACAAUUGAUAACAUAAUCAAAAGGUUAAAAAUCCAUCAUUCAUGCAAAA